GGGCCAAAGAGACCUCCUUCAGGGAAAUGUCUAAGAUGGAAGGUUCUGAAAAUCCGUAAGCGAGAAACUCA
rnacentral:ribozyme from 11 species